AUAAAAACCAAGGUCAUAAUAACAUACUUGUCAUUGAACUUAAUUAGUGGGAGUUAGAAGAGUCACUGUCCGAGGAACUGAAUGGUAAUUUAUAACAACGAAGAUCUCAUAGGCGUAUAAUGAUGAAGAAGCUUACGGAAAGCAGAUGAGCCGUCUCCUAUAGUUGAGUUAAGGGGAUCAAAUACAUACAUUACUUUUCUACCUCACAAGAUGGGAACAGAGAAGCGACAAUGUAUCAUGCUCUCA
rnacentral:lncRNA from 1 species